GCAUCAUCUGUGUUCAGAAGCUGUACAGAAAAAUGAUACAGAGAAUACCAUCAGAAUUUACUUAGAAAAGACUACUUCAAAUACAACCAAAAUUCUGGCUUACACAAUUCCUUGCCUUCCACAGAGGUGCAGCAGAUGCCAUGGGUGAUGUCGUCGAAAGCAAAAGAAAACACUUUCGGGUUUUUUUCCCUCCAGUGAAUGCUCCUUAUUGAAGAAGUAAAUUAAGUUACUUUAGAAAGCUCCAUUCUAAUCAGGUACACCCUAGUUGUGGAUGAAAUAAAAGUCCUGCUUAUAGCUCACUGUCUGACUGGUUUGCAGUGGAAAACUGAGCUGUUUUGAGGAACAAUGCAUGAACUGUGAAAUUGUAGGCACAAAAACAAGGUAAGAGAACUCAAGGUUCUUUCUGAGUUGCUUUUGCGUACAAAGUACUUUUCCUUUGAACC